UGGGGAAUAUUGGGCAAUGGGCGAAAGCCUGACCCAGCAACGCCGCGUGAGGGAAGAAGGUUUUCGGAUUGUAAACCUCUGUCGCAGAUGACGAAGGAAGUGACGGUAAUCUGUGAGGAAGCCCCGGCUAACUACGUG
rnacentral:rRNA from 1 species